rnacentral:rRNA from 1 species
AUUGAACGCUGGCGGCGUGCUUAACACAUGCAAGUCGAUCGGUAACAGGUGUAGCAAUACAUGCUGACGAGAGGCGGACGGGUGAGUAAUGCUUGGGAAUCUGCCUAUUAGGUGGGGGACAACCCGGGGAAACUCGGGCUAAUACCGCAUACGCUCUACGGAGGAAAAGCCGGGGACCGCAAGGCCUGGCGCUAAUAGAUGAGCCCAAGUCGGAUUAGCUAGUUGGUAGGGUAACGGCCUACCAAGGCGACAAUCCGUAGCUGGUCUGAGAGGACGACCAGCCACACCGGAACUGAGACACGGUCCGGACUCCUACGGGAGG